rnacentral:sRNA from 1 species
UUGGUCCCAAGGCUCGCU